rnacentral:rRNA from 1 species
GAUGAACGCUGGCGGCGUGCCUAACACAUGCAAGUCGAACGGAAAGGCCCUGCUUUUGUGGGGUGCUCGAGUGGCGAACGGGUGAGUAACACGUGAGUAACCUGCCCUUGACUUUGGGAUAACUCUAGGAAACUGGGGCUAAUACCGGAUAGGAGCUCCUGCUGCAUGUUGGGGGUUGGUAAGUUUCGGCGGUUGGGGAUGGACUCGCGGCUCAUCAGCUUGUUGGUGGGGUAGUUGCUGACCAAGCGUUUGACGGGUAGCCGGCCUGAGAGGGUGACCGGCGACAUUGGGACUGAGAUAGGGCACAGUCGCCUACGGGAGGCAGCGGUGGGGAGUAUUACACAAUAGGCGGAAGCCUGAUGUAGCGGCGCCGCGUGCGGGAUGACGGCCUUCGGGUUGUAAACCGCUUUCGCAUGUGACGAGGCGUGAGUGACGGUAAUGGGUAAAGAAGCACCGGCUAACUACGUG